CAGAAUUGUAGUUUAAUUAAAAUAUUAGCAUUGGAAGCUAAAGAUUAGGUUGUUAAUCCUACAUUCUGA
rnacentral:tRNA from 3 species